AUGGAUUUUACCCCGGUCCCCUAUAGGACGUCGAUCUGUUUCUCCGAGGCCCAUCUCUUCUCUUAUCCUAAAUCGAGCCUCCCGGCGCCACUCCCGACCCAACCGCCGUCCCGUUCCACCUCCCGGCCAUCGCGCCUGCCACCGCGCCCCACCUCCCGGCCAUCCCGCCCACCACCGCGCACCACCUCCCGACCAUGGCGCCCGCUGCCGCGCCCCACCUCCCGGCCAUGGCGCCCGCCGCCGCGCACCACCUCCUGGUCAUGGCGCCCGCCGCCGCGCCCCACCUCCCGGCCAUGUCGCCUGCCUCUGCGCCCCACCUCCCGACCACGCGCCCGCCGCAGCGGCCCACCUCCCCGGACACGCGCCCCAUCGCCGCACUCCUGCAACCACAUCUCGGUGACGCGCCCAACCUUCUUCCUCCUCCUGCCACCUCCUGUCGCAGCGCACCACGCCAAGCACAUCCCCUACCUCCUCCUCCUCUUGCUUGCUCCCAGUGAGGCACCGAGCGCCCGACCAUCCCCUUCCACCUGCUCAGCAUCCCCAAUGCGACAGCGCAGAAAACCGUAG
rnacentral:rRNA from 1 species